ACGGGGGUGCUUUUUGCUGAGAUUAUACCCUUUGACCUGAUAUAGAUAAUGCUAUCGAAGGGAAGUCUUU
rnacentral:ncRNA from 2 species